CCGCGUGGGGGAUGAAGGCCUUCGGGUCGUAAACCCCUGUCGGUUGCGAGUAAAACCUGGUUCGAAUCAGGUCUGAUAUUAGCAGCAAAGGAAGGGGCGGCUAACUCCGUGCCAGCAGCCGCGGUAAUACGGAGGCCCCAAGCGUUGUUCGGAUUUACUGGGCGUAAAGCGUGCGUAGGCGGCGUGAUAAGUUUGGCGUGAAAUCCCCGGGCCCAACCCGGAAAUGGCGCUGAAAACUAUCUUGCUAGAGGUGUGGAGGGGAGUAUGGAAUUCCCGGUGUAGCAGUGAAAUGCGUAGAUAUCGGGAGGAACACCAGUGGCGAAGGCGAUACUCUGGACACAUUCUGACGCUGAGGUACGAAGGCUAGGGGAGCGAAGAGGAUUAGAUACCCUCGUAGUCCUAGCAGUAAACGGUGUGCACUUGCUGUGGGACGGUUCGACCCGUUCCGUGGCGGAGCUAACGCGUUAAGUGCACCGCCUGGGGAGUACGGCCGCAAGGUUAAAACUCAAAGAAAUUGACGGGGGCCUGCACAAGCGGUGGAGCAUGUGGCUUAAUUCGAUGCAACGCGAAGAACCUUACCUGGGCUUGACAUGUUUGUCAUAGUCCCGUGAAAGCGGGACGUCAGUUCGGCUGGACAAUCACAGGUGCUGCAUGGCUGUCGUCAGCUCGUGUCGUGAGAUGUUGGUUUAAGUACCGCAACGAGCGCAACCCCUGUGUCCUGUUGCCACGGAGAACACGUUUCUCCAGCACUCUGGACAGACUGCCUCAUUUGAAUGAGGAGGAAGGUGGGGAUGACGUCNAGUCAGUAUGGCCCUUACGCCCA
rnacentral:rRNA from 1 species